GUAGUGGAAGACGUUAGCAAUGGUAGUGGAAGACGUAAGCAAUGGUAGUGGAAGACGUUAGCAAUAGUAGUGGAAGACGUCAGCAAUGGUAGUGGAAGACGUUAGCAAUGGUAGUGGAAGACGUCAGCAAUGGUAGUGGAAGACGUUAGCAAUGGUAGUGGAAGACGUAAGCAAUGGUAGUGGAAGACGUUAGCAAUGGUAGUGGAAGACGUAAGCAAUGGUAGUGGAAGACGUUAGCAAUGGUAGUGGAAGACGUAAGCAAUGGUAGUGGAAGACGUAAGCAAUGGUAGUGGAAGACAUCAGCAAUGGUAGUGGAAGAUGUUAGCAAUGGUAGUGGAAGACAUCAGCAAUGGUAGUGGAAGACGUAAGCAAUGGUAGUGGAAGACAUCAGCAGUGGUAGUGGAAGACGUUAGCAAUAGUAGUGGGAGAUAUCAGCAAUGGUAGUGGAAGACGUCAGCAAUGGUAGUGGAAGACGUAAGCAAUGGUAGUGGAAGACGUUAGCAAUGGUAGUGGAAGACGUUAGCAAUAUGCUAGUGGAAGACGUUAGCAAUAUGCUAGUGGAAGACGUCAGCAAUGCAAGUGAAUGACGUUAGCAACGGUAGUGAAAGAAGUCAGCAAUGGUAGUGAGAAAGGGGUCUCAUAAGCAUGUUUCUUUUUAGAAAUUUUAAGUCGAAUGUAGAUAGAUGAAUGACCGUUCCCGUUUUUUCCGAACUUUAUAAAUACAGCUGUCCAUAACGAAAAUGCGUUACAAAAUCUAAAUAUAGUGCCUUCCAUUUAACUUCAUCUUGCAAAUUACCCUGUGUUUUUAUUUUUUUUAACAUUUGUUGCUCAUCUAAAAUAUUCUUAAUUUAAAAUGUUCUAAAUAUUUUUUCUUGCCUACCUAGCAGGGAAAGUAUACAUUUGUCCGAGCACGCGCCAGGGAUAGAUAUUCCUGUCUUUCCCUAGGAAACAAACCUUGUCUAAAGUGCACUCCGGUCACGUCACAUAGUACUGGCACUAUUAUCACGUCAUAAACUAUAAAAAUAUUGCCAGGAAAUACCCAAAUCUAUUCGUCAUCUCGAUCUAUUUUGAACGUGAUAGGCAAAAUAAAAAGGAUCCAAUAUGUCUGCCUGUGUAAGACAACUUUUUUUCCCAACCAUCGGGACAGCUUGGUUUAAAACCUCGCUAUCGCUCGGUUUUUCACUCCACACUGUCCCUCGGGUAGGGAAAAACCUGUCUUACACAGGCAGACUGUAAGAUCCUUAUAAUCUUACGUGAUUAGGACUUUGUUUUCUUGCACACCAGACUGGCGUUUCCAGUGAUUUUACCCAUUCCGGCAAAACCCAUCUGGCAACCCCACCAUGCCAGAUGACUCUCGUGCUGUUAAUGAAAACUAAUGAUUAAUGCAUUGAUUUUAUAAUAUUUAUGUAAAAUACGGAAAAAUCAGGUACCUUGAUAGUUUCUCUCCAUUCCUUAUGGUAAAUUUCUCGAUUCAAAAUACGUUAUUUCAUGGUAAGAUCAUACCGUUACGCUACAAAACUAAAGUGGAGCUUUGUUUUUUACGUCACUGUUCAAAAUGUCAUGACGUCACUUCUGCUUACGGAAGUUAAUUCCCUGCGCUUUGUGUACAUACUCUACUAUAAGAGAGAGUGCUACCAAGAAGGUAUUUAUACUUGCUUUUUUUAUUCUAUCAUUUGUAAAAUACGAUUUGCAUGAAAAAUAUUUUGCCAGAAUGUAUACGAUAUGCAAGAAAACUAACAUUCAUGUGUUUAGGAAUCGGAUAGAAAUAUCCGUCCUGAGGGCACCUGCACAUUGGGCGGCAACGAGGCUUGCCGAGUUACCGCCCAUGCGCAGGUGGCCGAGGACAGAUGUUAUUAAUCAACGUACUUUAAAUCCAGCUGAUUGAAAAUAAUAGAUGUCGUUUUCCUAUGUUUCUUUUAACUUUUGAACGGCCGUUUGUAGCUUCAUUAAAUAGACUGCAACUGGUAUUUCCACAACAGCCGUAAUGGAAGCUGGAGUGUUUGUCUUCGGCACUGAAUACAAAUACGAAUUAUGCAAAUAAAACUAAUGCUGUGAGAUUGCCUUGUCUUGACGCAAGAUAUAUACGCCAUACCUGCUUGCCGUCAAGGUGACAGAAGAUUAUGAGCAUAUAUAAUAAAUACUAAAUUAAACAAAUUAAUAAACCGAACGGUACAGACUUGUUUGAAGCGCUUCACGGUCUGCGGGUUACAUGAGCAGAGUUAUUUCGCACCUGUUUCGCUCCGCUUUGCUUACAAAAUUAUGUCAUGUGGUGUGAAAUCUACACCAGCUACGAAGGUUUCUUUGGUCGGGAAAAGACUAAUAUUUCUCAAAUAAAUUGACAGAGGUAUGAUGAAGACAACAUAAACGUAAAACCAGACAUCUUAAUAACAGAAACAAAAAUGCUUCAAAUAAGGUAAACACUUUUAUACGUGACGGUCUCAAGGUGUCUGGCGUGUUUUAUGUCUCGGCUAAGAAUCAUUUUGUAAGAUCUUAAUAGAUAUGGCUAGUUUCCAUUCUCAUAGUGACGGGUGUAAGGUAAUGGCAUAAAAGAAGAAGCUUUAGGGACAAUAUCAGUUUCAAACGGUUUCAUCGACCAUGACAUAUCUCUGGCUGGCGGUUUGAUAACAUCAAAUGAUCGGACCCUACUAAAUGCGUUGAAACCCAGAGAGGUUCAUUCCGUUGAUCUUGCAUUGUAAGCAGCAAUAAUACACUUUGCCAGUGUAAAGACCAGCAUGGUAAGGAGGAGAAGAGGUGUAAUUUUUCUUCCAGUGGUAAUGCAGUUCGGUUCGUGCCGGGUCUAAGCAACUACAGCGACUUGCAGUCAUAACAAUGGGCGUUACGACAAAUGAGCAACAAAACAGCUAUGGAGAAUGAAACAGGUGUUGAUUUUAGAUUAAAGACGGGUUUUUAAACAUUAGAAGAAUGAAAAUGAACCAUGGAAGUGAUAAUCAUUUCCAAAGCUUUACGCUUGCACAACGUGAUUUUGGUGUUCUAGGUAUUGCGGACUAUAUUUAUUCACGGUGCACAAUCACGUGGUCUUUGACGUCACGCCGUAGGUAUCGCGCCAAGCAUUUUUGUCAACAAAGCGUCGAUUCAAGAAGAAAAUUCGUCUUAAAUAUUUUGUUACGAAAUUUUGUAAAAUGUAUUUUGUAUGUUGCAAGUCCGUUUAUAAAUGCGUACCUCCAAUCACACAGCAUCUGCCCGUGUCUGCUUUAGUUUGGCUGGAAUACGGGACAAACUGACCAAAAUCUCAAAAUGCUCUUGCUGUCGCUCCAAGCUGAUUCCAGAACCGCAUUAAAACCCACUUUCUCUUGCUGAAGUCUUCAGAUGGCCGUUUUACCUUUGUACUUUUUGUCUCAAAACAGCCGCUGAUAGAUUAUCUUUCACGUUAAAGGCGUUAUUUUCAGGUAAAACCAAUGAUAAAAAGGUAUGCUAUUGUGGCAAGUUCUGGAAGAUGAAUGAUAUCGCAACAAGCUGAAAAAGUAUGCUAUAGCAGCUAGUUCUAAAAGAUAAAUGCUAUCGCAACAAGCUGAAGCAUUUACGAGCGACGACGGCGGCUUGAAAGGUUUGAGCGUGACUUUCAGGUUAAAGCACAGGCUUUGAAGCAUGAUUAAACUGUUUAUGUGUUUAUGUAGAGCGGUAUUAUUCGCGUGGCUAUUAUUUUCGUUAUAUACGCGGUUUUCACUUAAGCGCAAAUUUAAGACACCCGUGUAAUAAUUAUUUCCGGCUUAACACACCACUUAAUAUUCAAUUUUUAAAAAAUCUUGAACAUAAUACCUACGCGAAAUCAACCCGGUUUAGAGCUUUAGUAUUUUAUUUCCAAAUUAACUUUCUUCUCAUAAUAAAUUAGAUGGCUAACGGUGUUUUCUUUUAAUUGCAGAUUCAAACACAGUAUGGCUGAUGAAGCUAGCACAAACGUGUGCAGCCAGUGUGGCAAGGCUUUCCGCAAGAGGAGAAAUUUGCAUACGCGCGAGAAAAGUCACGCAGAUGUUUCCCUUUACUUGCUGUGACAGGGUUUCAAUUCUCGAUAGGCAUAGAUGCAGGAAGCAUGAUACAAGUUCAGACUUAAAGGCUUAAGAGAGGAGAGAGAACAAUCCUCGGGCUUUCAGUUGUGACAUUUGCGGCCAUCUUGUAGCAACCCGUCAUGAACCCACCGAGCACAUGCGCAGUCAUGAAGACAAUCGAAGUCUGGCCUGUCCACAAUGUGGUGCAAUGUAUGAGCACAGUUCAUCCCUGAAUCGGCAUAUUAGGCAACGUCGCAGGAAUGUGUGCGUAAUUUAAUCCGGUGAAUACUUAGAAAAAUCGAUGUAAACAUGUUCUCGUCAAAAUAUCAGGCUUUCUGAUAGUUUUAUAUGAAAUGCGGGGGUUAAGUGUUGCGAUGACAAUCAACGUACAAUGCAAUGUGUGUCUUUGCUCAAACAAUUAAAAAAUAUGUAAUAUGUGUUUUAUUAAUAUUAUACAAUACUGUGUUGAUCUCGAUUUCUAGUAAAGCAUUUCUAGUCAUUUA